UACGAAGGGUGCAAGCGUUAAUCGGAAUUACUGGGCGUAAAGGGCGCGUAGGCGGCCGGCCAAGUCGGGGGUGAAAGCCUGUGGCUCAACCACAGAAUGGCCCUCGAUACUGGCUGGCUCGAGACCGGAAGAGGUUGGUGGAAUUGCGAGUGUAGAGGUGAAAUUCGUAGAUAUUCGCAAGAACACCGGUGGCGAAGGCGGCCAACUGGUCCGGAUCUGACGCUGAGGCGCGAAAGCGUGGGGAGCAAACAGG
rnacentral:rRNA from 1 species